CUGCAAUUUGGCAGCACAUAUACUAAAAGUGGAAGGAUUCAGAGAAGAUUAGCAUGACCCAUGUGCAAGUUCAUGAAGCAUUUAUAUUUUUAAAGGACAUCCAAAUUUUA